rnacentral:lncRNA from 1 species
CAUUGACGUAUGGAAGGACAAGAUUGACUGCCGCCUACAUCAGUAAUUAUAUAUGCAUUGUUUUCCGCAACUGGAUCCAGAAUAAAUCAUUUACAACAUUGCCUUGGAAUAACAUUGUCUCCAGAAGCAAGCAAGUACCUUAGGUCAGAAGGUCCUGUGGAGCAUAGAUCGACUCAUCCUCGACCAGGGACAAUGAACCAUUGGGAAACAUAGAUGUUGCAUUUGCUAGCAUGAUGAUGUCAUGGAUGUAGGGGCUAACCAAAGAUGAGAAAAGGAAUUCCUAGCCAACCAUCAAUAUUUGGGUGAGCUGGAGCAGCACUGUAUUCCAUAAAAGCCCGCAACAGCAUACUG